UACAGCCAUAUCAUGUUGAAACACCACAGGUUCUUGUACAAUUGCCGAAGUUAAGCCACCUUGAGCCUGGUCAGUACUGUGAUGGCUGACUGCUUGGGAAUAUCAAAUGC